AUUUGGGUGAAGACGGAGGUGGGUUCUGGACAGACCUACGCUGUCAGGGAGUGUUUACUUCGCCUACACUUCUGUUCCUCCCCGCCCUGGUGCUGCUCCAGGUCACAUACUCGUCCUGAGCUGGCUUCAGCCUCUGCACAGAAGUCUCCCGGAGCCAUGGCCUAGUACUCUUAUGUGAAGUCUACCAAGCUUGUGCUCAAGGGAACCGAGGUGAAGAGCUGGGUCCUGCAGCUCCGGCGGGAGCCUCCUCAGUUCUUUUCGGACGCACUCCACCCCCGCGAAUCCGGUGGGAGCCGUGGUGCGGAGAGCCGGCUUCGUGGCCUCCCAGGCUUCGCUCUGACCCUGUCUGGGCUGGACGGAGGCCGGACCACCCUUCCUGGCGCCUGUGCAGAGAGGGGAAGCCUCCUGCGCGGACGACCCUGGAAACAGGAUAGACAGGCGGGUGACCCGUGGCCCCGUACCCACGAGUUUGGGUCCCCUGAGGCAUCUCUCCAGGCCUCUGCCUGAUUUGCCUGAGGUUGACUGUACAUACAAAUAUUGAGCAUUUCCUCCUGGCCUCCGUGAUAAACAGAAGUUUUGAUAUUGUUAGGCGAGAUGGAAAGAAAGUAUCAAGGAGUGAGCUGAAGCCACUGCCCUUGAGAACCCUCUCGAGGAGUCUGGCCUCAUGAAGAUGCCAGAAUAAAUGGCAGUAAGAAGAAAAAGAGCAAAGAUAAGAAGAGAAAAAGAGAAGAAGAUGAAGAAACCAGCUUGAUAUGUUGGAACGCAGCUGCUCACCAGCAACGGAACAAAGCUGGACGGAGAAUGACUUUGAAGAGCUGAGAGAAGAAGGCUUCAGAUGAUCAAAUUACUCUGAGCUACGGGAGGACAUUCAAACCAAAGGCAAAGAAGUUGAAAACUUUGAAAAAAAUAAAUAUACAUUUCUUAACGUGGAAUCUGGUGAACAGUAACAAACUUUGGUGAAAUUUCAGGAACCCUAGCCAUUGAAAUGGAUGAGGGAACCUAUAUACAUGCACUCGACAAUGGUCUUUUUACCCUGGGAGCUCCACACAAAGAAGGGGAAAAUGGCUUUGUUGGCCUCAAAUAGAUGCUUUAUUAGAUACAAUGAAGCAGGGGACAUAGAAGCAAAAAGUAAAACAGCAGAAGAAGAAAUGAUCAAGAUUAGAUCCUGUGCUGAAAGAGAAACCAAGAAAAAAGAUGACAUUCCAGAAGAAGACAAAGGAAAUGUAAAACAAUGUGAAAUCAAUUAUGUAAAGAAAUUUCAGAGCUUCCAAGACCACAAACUUAAAAUAAGUAAAGAAGCAGUAAAAUUCUUAAAAAGAUGCAGAAAGAUGGAUUUUUGCAUGAGAUGCUUCUGGACAGAGAACCAAAUUGAAAGCCGACAGAUACUGCAAAUGACUGGGAUUUUUGUUUCUGCCUUAUCUUUUUGUGUUUUUUUCUGAAUAAAAUAUUCAGAGGAAAUGCUUUUACGGA